rnacentral:rRNA from 1 species
UACGAAGGGGCUAGCGUUGCUCGGAAUCACUGGGCGUAAAGCGCACGUAGGCGGAUUGUUAAGUCAGGGGUGAAAUCCUGGAGCUCAACUCCAGAACUGCCUUGAUACUGGCGAUCUUGAGUCCGGGAGAGGUGAGUGGAACUGCGAGUGUAGAGGUGAAAAUUCGUAGAUAUUCGCAAGAACACCAGUGGCGAAGGCGGCUCACUGGCCCGGUACUGGACGCU